rnacentral:lncRNA from 1 species
GGAAUGGCUAACAGCAUUUUCUAUCACUUAAGAUUUAUGAGGGUAUCCUUACAGACAAAAAGUGAAGCUUUUCACAGCGAAGAGCCAUAAACCUUGGCUAACAGUUAAAACUACUGAGUAACCCUUUCAAUGCUGGCUAGAUCCUCCUAGGCAUAUAGUAUCCUAUUCUCCUGUGAUUUUCAAUUAAAAUAACAUUCAAACCAGCUCAUUAGUCAUUUCCUGGAACCAUCCAAUAAGAAUAAUCUACCAGAUUCUAUAAGAUCCGAAUUUUAAUUUGCC